rnacentral:rRNA from 1 species
CACUCUCGACAACCGAUAUUUUGGCUCUUGCAUCCAUGAAAAAAGUAAUGGAAUGCCAUACUUGGUGUGAAUUGCAAAAUUCCGUGAACCAUUCAGUUUUUUAAUGGCAGUUGCGUCCGAAACCCUCCGACCUAAGGCCCGUUUUGCUAGGCGUC